rnacentral:lncRNA from 1 species
GGGAGAAAAGGCGAUUCAGAUAAAAGCGAUAUUUCCUUGCAGAAAGAGCAAUAUGCACAAAAGUGGAGGAGGGGAAAUAUGAUAUAUUGAAAAAUAGUUUAUCUGGUUGGUGUAUGGAAGGAAGUGGCAGGAGAUGAGGUUAGCAUUAGAUCUUCAAGGUCUUUGCAUGUCACCCAAAGGAAUUUGGACUUUAACCAGUGGGCUAGGAAGCCACUGAAAUAUUUUAAGCCAGGAAGUGAUGCAACAUGAUCAUAGUUUUAUUUUGGAGUAACAAAUCUGUCAGUAGUGUGAAGAAUUAACUGAAGUCCAGAGGAGUGUCUGAGGUCAAGACUACCAGCUGGGUAACUUGAAAUAAUCCAUAUGAGUAAGAAGAGAUGAACUAGUGUCAUGACAAUAAAGAGAAACAUACUGGGGAAUUAUUGAGACGGUAGAGGCACACAUUUGGAUGAGUGGGAAAACUGACAGUCAUCAAGGAUAACUUCUUGGCUUGUGGUUUGAGGAAUUUGAUCAAUGGUGAUAUCAUUACCCUGGAGAAACAAGUGUGAGACUAAAACCUCAUCUCAGAUUUAAUUUUAAAAAUGCAAUUUGUCAAAUAGAAGAGGUCCCCAAUGGACAAAAGACCUAAAGAAGAAUUCACCCUGUCCUUUCACUCAUGGCCAUGAAAAUUGAUGCAGUGUUACAUCUACAUUUUAAAUGUAAGAUGAAGGAAGAAAAUAAAUAACCAAGGCCACAGUUUCCAAACCAACAGGAAAGAGAAAAUGGAACAUCAUAAAACUAUACAAGCAAAGAGAAAAAUCAAUAAAAUUCAGUGCAGCACAUCUUCUCGCUUACUUCUGAGCACACAAAGCCUGCUCAUCUGGAAUGCGCCAUGACUUGGAUACCGACCACCCUGGGGACUUUGGAUGCAUCUUAGAGUCAACAGAACACUCGAGAGAGAGGGUAGAUCACUGCCAUUUUUAUACCAGGAUAUUAAGGUACCACCACCUCACUCGAUCCUUGGUGAUUGAAUACUUUCAUGAUCCAAAAGUUACUCAGAAGAGUUAUUCUCGGGAUUAAUUUUCCAUUCAUCCAGGAAGCUUUUUUUUUUAAUUAAUGGAAAUUUCUAAGUACCAUCUACAGCCUGAAGGUGAAUGUGAAUUUUUAUAUGAAUUUUGUAUGAAUUUCUUGGA